UACGAGGGGGGCAAGCGUUGUUCGGAAUUAUUGGGCGUAAAGGGUGCGUAGGCGGUUUGGUAAGUCUUAUGUGAAAUCUACAGGCUCAACUUGUAGUCUGCAUGAGAAACUGCCGGGCUUGAGUAUGGGAGAGGUGAGUGGAAUUCCUGGUGUAGCGGUGAAAUGCGUAGAUAUCAGGAGGAACACCUGUGGCGAAAGCGGGGUCUCUGGGCAGUAACUGACGCUGAGGAGCGAAAGCGUGGGGAGCGAACAGG
rnacentral:rRNA from 1 species